rnacentral:rRNA from 1 species
GACGAACGCUGGCGGCGUGCUUAACACAUGCAAGUCGAACGAUGAAGAAGAGAACCGAAGCUUCGGCCGAAGUUCACUUCGGAUUAGUGGCAGACGGGUGAGUAACGCGUGAGCAACCUACCUCUUACAAAGGGAUAGCCAUGGGAAACCGUGAUUAAUACCAUAUGACACAUUCAUAAGGCAUCUUAAGAAUGUUAAAGCUACGGCGGUAAGAGAUGGGCUCGCGUCCCAUUAGCUAGUUGGUGAGGUAACGGCCCACCAAGGCGACGAUGGGUAACCGGCCUGAGAGGGUGAACGGUCACAUUGGAACUGAGACACGGUCCAAACUCCUACGGGAGGCAGCAGUGGGGAAUAUUGCACAAUGGAGGAAACUCUGAUGCAGCGACGCCGCGUGAGCGAUGAAGGAAUUCGUUUCGUAAAGCUCUGUUCUAUGGGAAGAAAAGGACUGUACCAUAGGAGCAAGCCCCGGCUAAAUACGUGCCAGCAGCCGCGGUAAUACGUAUGGGGCGAGCGUUGUCCGGAAUUAUUGGGCGUAAAGGGUACGCAGGCGGUUUACCAAGUUGGAUGUGAAAUCUUGUAGCUCAACUACAAACGUGCAUCCAAAACUGGUUAACUUGAGUUAAGGAGAGGUAAGUGGAAUUCCUGGUGUAGCGGUGGAAUGCGUAGAUAUCAGGAGGAAUACCGGUGGCGAAGGCGACUUACUGGACUUAAACUGACGCUGAGGUACGAAAGCGUGGGGAGCAAACAGG